ensembl:snRNA U5 U5 spliceosomal RNA
CAGCUCGAGUUUCUCUUCAUUGUCGCAUAAAUCUUUCGCCUUUUACUAAAGAUUUCCGUGGAGGGGAGCUUUUGAGAGUGACCUGUAUUUUUUUGGGGGCUCUGCUCACAGCAGAGCU